rnacentral:rRNA from 1 species
GACGAACGCUGGCGGCGUGCCUAAUACAUGCAAGUUGAGCGCUGAAGGUUGGUACUUGUACCAACUGGAUGAGCAGCGAACGGGUGAGUAACGCGUGGGGAAUCUGCCUUUGAGCGGGGGACAACAUUUGGAAACGAAUGCUAAUACCGCAUAAAAACUUUAAACACAAGUUUUAAGUUUGAAAGAUGCAAUUGCAUCACUCAAAGAUGAUCCCGCGUUGUAUUAGCUAGUUGGUGAGGUAAAGGCUCACCAAGGCGAUGAUACAUAGCCGACCUGGGAGGGUGAUCGGCCACAUUGGGACUGAGACACGGCCCAAACUCCUACGGGAGGCAGCAGUAGGGAAUCUUCGGCAAUGGACGAAAGUCUGACCGAGAACGCCGCGUGAGUGAAGAAGGUUUUCGGAUCGUAAAACUCUGUUGGUAGAGAAGAACGUUGGUGAGAGUGGAAAGCUCAUCAAGUGACGGUAACUACCCAGAAAGGGACGGCUAACUACGUG